UGAGAUGAGACGAGUAGGUCAUCUGGACUGCAUGGCACUCAAGUACGAUACUACCCGUCAGUGGGACAUCAUAGAGGGUGACAAUCCCGUCUUUGGUGCUGAUGUUCGAGUCCUUUACGAUGCCUAUCUCAGGAGAGUCGAGUAGUUUGGGAUUUGCUGCUUGAACAUGGGAGGUAGACACCUUCUAAAGCUAAAUAUUGGCAAGAGACCGAUAGUGGACAAGUACCGCAAGGGAAAGAUGAAAUAGCACUCUGUAAAGGGAGUCAAAAGGCGUGAAAUUGUUGCGAGAGAAGCGAUUCAAGUCAGCUUGACUAGGCCCAUGAUGACAUCCGUCCUCUGGACUAGUCUCGCCAGCGGUCUCAUCUUAUUACGGUUUGACUAAGGUGCGGUACAUCCUCAACGCACGGCUGGUGGAAUGGCUUGCAAUCGACCCGUCUUGAAACACGGACCAAGGAGUCUAACAUGCAUGCAAGUAUAAGGGUGACAAACCCGUAUGCGCAAUGAAAGUGACUUUCAGUGAUUGUUGUGUGGCUUGACGACCAGACAGGAAAUAUCAUGUCCCUCGGAUGGCCACUGCCCAAGUUCUGUGGUACGAACCCAUGAACAUGGAGACGGAGCAUGCAUGCUAGGACCCGAAAGAUGGUGAACUAUGCCUGGACAGAGCGAAGCCAAAGGAAACUCUGGUGGAGGCUCGUAGCGAUUCUGACGUGCAAAUCGAUCGUCUGAUCUGGGUAUAGGGGCGAAAGACUAAUCGAACCAUCUCAUAGCUGGUUCCUGCCGA
rnacentral:rRNA from 1 species